rnacentral:rRNA from 2 species
UUCUUUUAGUUAAUAUUAAAAGUAUGCCCUGCCCAAUGAAUUCUUAAACGGCCGCGGUAUCCUAACCGUGCAAAGGUAGCAUAAUAACUUGCCUAUUAAUUGUAGGCUAGAAUGAAAGGGUAAACGAAAUAAAAACUGUCUCCUAUAUAACACUAAAAACUAUCCUCCAAGUGAAGAGACUUGAAUUAAAUUAAAAGACAAGAAGACCCUAUAGAGCUUUAUUAUAAAUAUAAAUCAAUUAUACUAAAAUUCGGUUGGGGCGACCUAGGAAUACUUAACAUCCUAAAAAAUUUAAGACUAAUAAGUCUAUUAUAGAUCCAACUCAUGAUCAAUAAAUUAAGCUACCUUAGGGAUAACAGGCUAAUAUUUUUCUAGAGUCCUUAUCAACAAAAAUGUUUGGCACCUCGAUGUUGGCUUAGGGAUCCUUUAUGGUGCAGAAAUCAUAUAAGGAGGUUUGUUCAACCUAUAAAUCCCU